ACGGGAGGCAGCAGUGGGGAAUUUUGGACAAUGGGCGCAAGCCUGAUCCAGCAAUGCCGCGUGUGUGAAGAAGGCCUUCGGGUUGUAAAGCACUUUUGUCCGGGAAGAAAUCCCUGGUCCUAAUAUGGCCGGGGGAUGACGGUACUGGAAGAAUAAGCACCGGCUAACUACGUGCCAGCAGCCGCGGUAAUACGUAGGGUGCGAGCGUUAAUCGGAAUUACUGGGCGUAAAGCGUGCGCAGGCGGUGAUGUAAGACCGAUGUGAAAUCCCCGGGCUUAACCUGGGAACUGCAUUGGUGACUGCAUCGCUCGAGUAUGGCAGAGGGGGGUAGAAUUCCACGUGUAGCAGUGAAAUGCGUAGAGAUGUGGAGGAAUACCGAUGGCGAAGGCAGCCCCCUGGGUCAAUACUGACGCUCAUGCACGAAAGCGUGGGGAGCAAACAGGAUUAGAUACCCUGGUAGUCCACGCCCUAAACGAUGUCAACUGGUUGUCGGGCCUUCAUUGGCUUGGUAACGUAGCUAACGCGUGAAGUUGACCGCCUGGGGAGUACGGUCGCAAGAUUAAAACUCAAAGGAAUUGACGGGGACCCGCACAAGCGGUGGAUGAUGUGGAUUAAUUCGAUGCAACGCGAAAAACCUUACCUACCCUUGACAUGUAUGGAAUCCUGCUGAGAGGUGGGAGUGCCCGAAAGGGAGCCAUAACACAGGUGCUGCA
rnacentral:rRNA from 1 species